CUCUCCUCCGCCCUGGGGGAAAGCGUCCUUGGUGCCUGGAGGGAUGGGGGAGAGAAGGCGUUCACCUUGGCUCUGCUGGCGUUUUCCUUGGGGCCCUCCAGCUGCAGCCAGAUGUGGGGGUUGUCCGGACAGUCCUUCGGAAGGACGCUCACCCCCACGCUGAAGAUGCGCUCCACAUGGGGCUGCUGUUCCCGAACCUUGUUCUCAGCCUCCGCAGACACCGCAAAGCGAUCUGGGGACGCGGGGCGGGCCCCCCAGCUAUCAACAGGUCGCACCUAGUUAAGGCUCUGGUAAACAGCCCCAGGAGGUGACAAGCAUCUGAGUCCACUGGAGGUAGG
rnacentral:lncRNA from 1 species